rnacentral:SRP_RNA from 1 species
GCUGGGCAUGAUGGCACAUGUCUGUAAUCCCAGCUACUUGGGAGGCUGAGGCAGGAGAAUCACUUGAACCCGGGAGGUGGAGGUUGCAGUGAGCCGAGAUCAUGCCACUGCACUCCAACCUGGGUGACAGAGUGAGAUUCCGUCUCAA